rnacentral:lncRNA from 1 species
AACUUCACUAAUUAAAAAUUCUCGUUUAAACUCCAACUUUAAACUCUUAUUCGGGGUUAAGAAAAAAUUAGUUAUUUCAGGAAUAGGGUUAAGUUCAGAGUUAAGGUGGGAUUAGAAUAUUUUUGUAUUUGGUUGGAGGCUAGAGUUAGUCCAGGAUAGUGAAAAAUAGUGUUUGGUUGGAGUAGGUGGGAUAAGAAGGAUAGUGGGUUAUUAUAAAUAGAAAAUAGUGUUCGGUUGGGGUUUGGUGGGGUUAGAUGGAGCUAGCUAACCCAGGAUAACCCAUUUGAGGUGAGGGUUAGCUAACCCGACCUAUUUUUUAGGAUGUUUGGAGAUAAUAUCGGGGUUAAGGGUUAAGGGGUUAUUCCAUCUCUUAACCCCCAACUAAACGGGGACUUAAAAUUUAAGUAAGUUCAAAAAUACCAAAUUUAAAAUUAAGCUCGAACGUUAUCACAUUUUCAAGUUGUGGUCAAUGAUAAAGUGCCAUUCGAACUUAUUCCCAUAUUUGAACUUCUUUAAACCUCUAAAUUCAAAAAGUUAAAAAAAUAUAUAUAAAAUUUAAAACAUAGACUUGAAAUUUAUAAAUUUCUCGGGUCUUGGUCAACUGUAAGGUGCGGCCAGAGCUUCGCUAAUUUGAAGUUCUGGUUUAAACUCCAAAUGAAACUAUAAAAUUCAAAUGAGUACGAGAGUAUCAAAUUUAAAACUUUUAAACUUAAAAUUGAUGAACUUUUCUAAUUAGGUCACAACAGAAUUUGUAGUCGUACCUUGGUGGUUUUGGACAAAAAUCUGGUCAACCAAAUUAACAAAAUUUUAUUAUUUAUAAAGUUUGGAUCAGACCAACUAGAGCCGUCAUAUAAUUUUAAAAAAAUUUCAAAUUGAAUUAGGAAAGUGAUGCAAACUAAAGUAAACAAAACUUGAGGGGUUCCUAUUAAAGCAAAAGGAAUUGUCGAGGGCAUUUCUUAAUAGCACCCACAGUUAAGGGGGUCCUUGUACAUUUUCACCUAGAGCUCGACUCGAAAUUAAAUGAGCCGAGCUUGAACAAAAUAAAAGGCUCGAAAUUCAUUUCAAGCCGAGCUUGAGUAUUACUCGGCUCGUUCGAAUUAGGCUCGAAAAGCUCGAAAAGCUCGAAAAUAUAUAUAUAGGCUGGGGCUACUAUACUCUUAUGAGUAUAGACCCCCUUGUACUCAUAAAUUUUUAACCGUUGAUUGAUGAGAUGUGUGGUUAGGAUGAUGGUGGUCCCCACUUAGAAUGAUAGUGGUCCCCUAGGGUUGAGUGGGUAGUUGGUUAAAUAGUAUGAUCUAACGGAUGAAAAUGAUUAAUGGAAUAAAUCUAAGGGUUGAAAACUUAUGAAUAUAAAGGAGCCGAUACUCAUAAAAGUAUAGUAGCCAGACUCAUAUAUAUAUAUAUAUAUAUAUAUAUAAUUUAUAAAUAUAAUGUAUUUUAAU